rnacentral:rRNA from 1 species
UACGAAGGGUGCGAGCGUUAAUCGGAAUUACUGGGCGUAAAGAGCACGUAGGCGGUUUGUUGCGUCGGCUGUGAAAUCCCGAGGCUCAACCUCGGGUCUGCAGUCGAUACGAGCAAACUAGAGUGUUGCAGGGGAGACUGGAAUUCCUGGUGUAGCGGUGAAAUGCGCAGAUAUCAGGAGGAACACCGGUGGCGAAGGCGGGUCUCUGGGCAACAACUGACGCUGAGGAGCGAAAGCGUGGGGAGCGAACAGG